GCCUCUUUGUCCUGAUCCAUCAUUGGUGAUUAGCUGGAAAAAUCACUCAGUAAUCUGAGAUGUUUGAGCCAAAGGAGAGAUCAAUAGGGAGGCAGCUACCAGCAAUUACCAAUUGCCUGGUACAUUUUUUAUUUAUCAGAGCAAGCGAGUUGAGAUGCCUGCAGGAUAACUGGUCCUGGCUUGAGAAACACAAAUGAGGAAAGGGAGAGAAGAGACCGUUCUGAUCCUGUUUUGAAAUGACUUUUUCCAUUUCACUCUUAGAGCAUCAAGGCACAGCCUGCUAUGGGCCACUCAUCAGAGGACAGAAAGACCAACCUGCCAUCCUGGCACAGCUUGAGAACAGUGAGCUCCUGUGCAUGCCUCAAAAUGCCAGUUAAACUGAAAUCUUCAUGUUCUCCAGAUGCAGCCCUUUGAGAGUCACAUAAGAAAUAUUUCCUGAAACCAAGAGGUGCCUGGCAUGAGGUGAAGUCUUCAAUUAUCUCAUCUAAUUUGAACGUGAAACAAUUCUGAAAGAGAAUGCUGGCUAUUUGUCUUCCAAGAGGAAGGAGGAUGAGUAUUCACUUGGAUUUCUUCUUAAAUACUGAAGCUGAAUGUGAAGAACCAAUUCCAGGGCUAAAAUUGGUCUCUGGGAAGAGGAAGUGCUGUUUCUGCCAUGGCCAUCCCAAGUCCAUUACGCAUGCCAGAGCAACAACAAUAUUCAUUACCAACCUGCCUCCCCACAAACUAAAGGAACUACAUGAUCACACCUGCAACACAUCCUUCUCAUUCCUGAGAAGGGCUAGGUGAUGCAGAUGGAAGUGGAAUUCCACAGCAUCACUUCCUUUGUAGACCAUUAAAAUGCAACAGAUGCCAUUCUCACUGAAAUGUUUGUGGAAAAGUUCAAGCAGUUUUCAAAGUAUUGAUAUGGACCAGUGACAUCAAUACCAUCCAAGAACUUGCUGGAAUGAAAAGUGGGGGAACCUCUCUUCCAACGUAGAGUCAGAAACUCUAUGCAUGGGACCAAAAAAUCUUCAUAACAAGUCUAAGAUGACUGAGAUGUGCUCCCAGCUGAGAAGGACCUCACAGCGCGGAACCGCCUUCUGUCUGACUCUUAUAAUUUUUUUGAAAGACAAUGGAUGUCAAUAACACUUAGAAACCACCACCCCAUUGCCAACUUUGUAU
rnacentral:lncRNA from 1 species